UUAUGGCCAUAUCACGUUGAAACACCGGUUCCCAGGUGAUCAUCGAAGUUAAGCAACAUUGAGCCUGGUCAGUACCUAGAUGGGUGACCGCUUGGGAAUACCAGGUGCUGUAAG